GCCGGGUGCGGUGGCUCACGCCUGUAAUCCCAGCACUUUGGGAGGCCGAGGUGGGUGGAUCACCUGAGGUCAGGAGUUCGAGACCAGCCUGGCCAACAUGGUGAAACCCCAUCUCUA
rnacentral:SRP_RNA from 1 species